GCCAGCAUGGUUUAGUGGUUCAAAUGUUGGACUAUGGUUCUGGAGACCAGGGUUCAAUUCCCAGCUCAGCCA
rnacentral:tRNA from 1 species